AUCCUCGCCCGGCGCCUCACUCACCAAGGGCCGCGCCGGGGUUCUGCACUGUCACUGCGCUGCGGUUCCCCGCCUUAGGGAUUCUCACACGGUUCCACGGCUCCAGGCCCGGCGGCACCGCAGCCAUCAUGCGAGGCGGGGGGACUUACGAAAGGCGGAGCUACGCGAGAGCACGUCCAGCGACCGGAGGGACUUCUGGAAUCCAUCUGCAAGGAAUGCCAGCUGGUGGCUCUUAAAUACCCAGAAACCUAACAAAGAGUACUGGACAAUGUGGAAACUUAAGAAGUGGGACAACAUAGGCACUACCAGCUAUCGGGGUGUAAGAGAGGGGAGUUAUGGGUGAAUUGCAUUCAGUGAAGGCUUCACAGAGGAAGAGAAGGUGAACCUGAGUCUUAAGAUUUAGUUAUACAAAGAGAAAGCAAGGGAAUUUCAGGUUGGAAGGACUAUGCAGGGAAAAGGGAAAAUAAAAGAGUCUGUUGAGAGCCAAUGUAUGAGAGUCUGACUGGAUGAAUUCACUGGAGAAAUUGAAUACUCUGUACAACAACCUCUCACCACCUCCAGCCUCCAAGUGCCAUGCCAGCUCCAUCCAUGGUUGUUUAUGAGUCUCUAGACAGGGAUGACCAUUCCAUGGUUGAAGCCGGUAGAUCAGAGAAGGCACACGUAAUGUUUACCUGCAAAGAAUAUGGCAGAACCUCUCAUGAAGUUUUAAGAUCAAAUGGAGAAAAGUUGCCUGCAGAAAAGCAUGAUUAAAUAAAUUUAUAGCUGGUUUAAUCACUUGA
rnacentral:lncRNA from 1 species